ensembl:misc_RNA Metazoa_SRP Metazoan signal recognition particle RNA
GCUGGGUGUGGUGGCUCACACCUGUAAUCCCAGCACUCUGGGAAGCUGAGGUGGGUGGACUGCUUGAGCCCAGGAGUUUGAGACCAGCCUGGGUAACAUGGCAAAACCCUGUCUAUACAAAAAAUACAAAGAUUAGCUGGGGUGGUGGUGUGCACCUGUUGUCCCAGCUACACCAGAGGCUGAGGCGGGAAGAUCAAUUGAGCCCAGGAGGUAAAAGCUGCAGUGACUGAGACUGCGUCACUGCACUCCACCCUGGGCAACAAAGCAAGACCCUGUCUCU